rnacentral:tRNA from 1 species
AGAAACUUAGGAUAGUCCCAAACCAAAGGCCUUCAAAGCCUUAAACAAGAGUUAAAACCUCUUAGUUUCUG